rnacentral:rRNA from 1 species
CCUACGGGUGGCAGCAGUGGGGAAUAUUGGACAAUGGGGGGAACCCUGAUCCAGCCAUGCCGCGUGUGUGAAGAAGGCCCUCGGGUUGUAAAGCACUUUCAGUGAGGAAGAACGCCUGGUGGUUAAUACCCAUCAGGAAAGACAUCACUCACAGAAGAAGCACCGGCUAACUCCGUGCCAGCAGCCGCGGUAAUACGGAGGUGCGAGCGUUAAUCGGAAUUACUGGGCGUAAAGCGCGCGUAGGUGGCUUGAUAAGCCGGUUGUGAAAGCCCCGGGCUCAACCUGGGAACGGCAUCCGGAACUGUCAAGCUAGAGUGCAGGAGAGGAAGGUAGAAUUCCCGGUGUAGCGGUGAAAUGCGUAGAGAUCGGGAGGAAUACCAGUGGCGAAGGCGGCCUUCUGGACUGACACUGACACUGAGGUGCGAAAGCGUGGGUAGCAAACAGGAUUAGAUACCCCGGUAGUC